rnacentral:tRNA from 1 species
GAAGCCGUGCCUGAACUAAAGGGUCACUUUGAUAGAGUGAAUCAUGAAGGUGAAAACCCUUCCGACUUCU